UACGUAGGGGUCCAAGCGUUAUCCGGAAUCACUGGGCGUAAAGCGUGCGUAGGUGGCGCGUUAAGUGAGAUGUUAAAUCGUGUGGCUCAACCAUAUCGAUGCAUCUCAUACUGGCGUGCUAGAGGACGGCAGAGGCAAGUGGAAUUAGCAGUGUAGCAGUGAAAUGCGUAGAUAUUGCUAGGAACACCAAUGGCGAAGGCAGCUUGCUGGGCCAUCUCCUGACACUGAGGUACGAAAGCGUGGGGAGCGAACAGG
rnacentral:rRNA from 1 species